rnacentral:rRNA from 1 species
GACGAACCGUGCGAACGUUGUUCGGAAUCACUGGGCAUAAAGGGCGCGUAGGCGGCUUAUCAAGUCAGGGGUGAAAUCCGGCAGCUCAACUGUCGAAGUGCCUUUGAUACUGAUGAGCUCGAGGGAGGUAGGGGUCUGUGGAACUUCCGGUGGAGCGGUGAAAUGCGUUGAUAUCGGAAGGAACGCCGGUGGCGAAAGCGGGUUGCUGGGCUGACACUGACGCUGAAGCGCGAAAGCUAGGGGAGCGAACGGG